CGAUUCUGGCUCAGAUUGAACGCUGGCGGCGUGCUUAACACAUGCAAGUCGCGCGUGAAAGGACUUCGGUCCGAGUAAAGCGGCGCACGGGUGAGUAACGCGUGGAUGAUCUACCCAUGAGUUAGGAAUAACGGCUGGAAACGGUCGCUAAUACCAAAUACGCUCCGAUUUCAACUUCGGGGGAAAGGUGGCCUCUGCUUGCAAGCUACUGCUCAUGGAUGAGUCCGCGUCCCAUUAGCUAGUUGGUGGGGUAACGGCCCACCAAGGCGACGAUGGGUAGCCGGUCUGAGAGGAUGACCGGCCACACUGGGACUGGAACACGGCCCAGACUCCUACGGGAGGCAGCAGUGGGGAAUAUUGCGCAAUGGGCGAAAGCCUGACGCAGCGACGCCGCGUGAGGGAUGAAGGUCCUCGGAUCGUAAACCUCUGUCAGGAGGGAAGAACCGCCACGGUGCUAAUCAGCCGUGGUCUGACGGUACCUCCAAAGGAAGCACCGGCUAACUCCGUGCCAGCAGCCGC
rnacentral:rRNA from 1 species